rnacentral:lncRNA from 1 species
UUUUACAUUGUUUUGACAGAAUUUAAUGGGAAUUGGAUGAUGGAAAGUGAAGUAGGGAGAAGUUGGACUCAAGAAGAGAUGAAAAAAGGUGCACAAGAAGAAUCGCAGCUACCGCUCAACGCCAAUUCUAAUGCUGAGCGCGAGUUUAUUGAAUUUAGCCAUUGUCUCACGCUUAAGCGCCAACGUUGAGGGGAAAAUGAAGAAUUGUGCCUACCGCUGAGCACCAGAUCCACCACUGAGCGGUGGCCUUCUCAGAGUCAACAUUGUUUAACACCUGGGCGUGAUCGCUGAGCGUCCCAAUUGAGUGUUGAACCUACCGUUGAGUGGUGAGCCCAGCACUGAGCGCUGUACUUAUGGGCCUGGGCCAAAAUUUAUUUAUUUUU